UGAAUACGAGAUGCUACGGCGUCGAAGCAGUCUAUGUCAUACUUCCAAGAAAAGCUUGCACUGUCAUAAACAAAUAAUGCCUGUACCAUAACCGACACAGGUGGGUAGGUAGAGUAUACUAAGGGGCGCGAGAUAACUCUCUCUAAGGAACUCGGCAAAAUGACUCCGUAACUUCGGGAGAAGGAGUGCCUUAUUUAUAAGGUUGCAAUAACAAGAUCCAAGCAACUGUUUACCAAAAACACAGGUCUCCGCUAAGUCGUAAGACGAUGUAUGGGGGCUGACGCCUGCCCAGUGCCAGAAGGUUAAAGAAGUUGGUUAGCAUCCGCGAAGCUGAUAACUGAAGCCCUGGUGAACGGCGGCCGUAACAAUAACGGUCCUAAGGUAGCGAAAUUCCUUGUCGGGUAAGUUCCGACCCGCACGAAAGGCGUAAUGAUUUGGAUACUGUCUCGGAGAGGGGCUCGGUGAAAUAGACUUGUCUGUGAAGAUGCGGACUACCUGCACCAGGACAGAAAGACCCUAUGAAGCUUUACUGUAACCUGAAAUUGAAAUUGGACUUUACUUGCGCAGUAUAGGUGGGAGGCGUUGAGAAUAUUCUUGCGGGAUUAUUGGAGCCAUCAGUGAGAUACCACUCUUGUAAUGUUAGAUUUCUAACUUUGUAUCAUUAUCUGGUCAAAGAACAGUUUCAGGCGGGCAGUUUGACUGGGGCGGUCGCCUCCUAAACGGUAACGGAGGCGCACAAAGGUUUCCUCUGAACGGGUAGAAAUCGUAUCUAGAGUGUAAAGGCAUAAGGAAGCUUGACUGUGAGACCUACAAGUCGAGCAGGGACGAAAGUCGGUCUUAGUGAUCUGACGGUGCUGAGUGGAAAGGCCGUCACUCAACGGAUAAAAGUUACUCUAGGAUAACAGGCUGAUCUCCCCCAAGAGUUCACAUCGACGGGGAGGUUUGGCACCUCGAUGUCGGCUCAUCGCAUCCUGGGGCGGUAGUACGUCCCAAGGGUUGGGCUGUUCGCCCAUGAAAGCGGUACGCGAGCUGGGUUCAGAACGUCGUGAGACAGUUCGGUCCAUAUCCGGUGUAGGCGUUAGAAUAUUGAGAGGAGCCUUCUUUAGUACGAGAGGACCGAGAAGGACAUACCUCUGGUGUACCAGUUAUCGUGCCAACGGUAAACGCUGGGUAGCUAUGUGUGGAGUGGAUAACCGCUGAAAGCAUCUAAGUGGGAAGCCCACCUCAAGAUAAGUAUUCUG
rnacentral:rRNA from 1 species